AAACCACAGUAUUUUGUGGAUAAACAACAUCUGGCAGAAAAUGGUCAAAUUUCCCAGUCUUCCUGGUAGAAGUUGUAGUAGGUCACCAGUGAACAUCUGAGUUCCUUCCUUGAAGGGUGCUUUUGUUCCUUGUCCUUGCUGCAGCUGAUUAAGGUACAUUCAGAAAGCAAAAACAUGAAUGACCUGUGACCUUCAGCUCUCCUUUUCAAAUGCCACCUGGGCAUUUGGAAGCCAGACAACCUUAGCAACUCUCUCCCUUUCUUCUUUCCUGAUGGAGCCAAUUAAAAGGCCAAGCCCCAGCUUGUCAGUGAAACCCAGAAUAAAGGAUUUGUCUCUGUUUGGGCAGGAGCUGCAGGUGCUGUGGGUUGGCCAAGAGGGCCUUUAGCCCUGGUGCCAUUUCUGACUCCAGUGAAACCCAUCUUUUCCCACCAUAUACUUCCAGGGAAGCAGAGCCCAAAUGUGUGAGUUCAGAUCUGACCAGCCUGGCAUAAAGCUUCCUAUGGCAGGACUACUCUUUUCUGGGCAUUUUCAUCUCCUUUCCUUAUGUAAGUUGAUCAAAGGAACCAUGAUUCACUUAAGAUUUGUUCCACUGUAAAUAAAGCCAAAGCUUUAACCACAAACAUUUUACAUGUGCUUGUUAGCAGUGUGUAAGUUUCAUGCCAGUCCCUCCUGGCUGUUUGCAACUAGCCAAGAUUCACUUAUUACCAUUCCAUGUUGUCUAACACCAUCCUGCUGAUCUAUAGGUAAAAAACACAUAGUAAGCAACAACUGAAUAUUAUAAAAGACUCCCACUUUUGCUAUUUAAUGCAUUACCUAACUCAUAUAUCUUUGCAUUGCCACAGGGUUUCUAAGCAUUAAAGUGUUGGAACAUGACUUGCAUGGUACUCAAGAUUUUCUGGCUUAAAUGAUGGAUUUGGGAAGAAACAUGAUAGAGUACACAUGAGGAACUGAAGAACUUGAAGAUGCCAUGGAUAUUGAGACAAAUAAUGAUGAUGUUGAAUGCCUAUGGGUGACCCACCUAGUGGAUGAGGGAAAGGCUGUGGAUG